AAAGCAUAGUAAAUGCUCGCUUCAUUUUGAAGAGGAAAGUCCGAGCUGCUAAAGACAAGAAUUCCAUCUAACAGAUGGCUAGGGCGACCUAAGGGAUAGUGCAACAGAAAGUAAACUACCAUGAAAAUGGAAAAGGUGAAAGGGUGGGGUAAGAGCCUACCAGCGUUUUUGGUAACAAUUUCGGCUAUGUAAACCCAAUUCGCAGCAAGAAGGGAUGGUUAAAGUCUUUGUUUUUAACCCUUCGCUUGAUUUUGUUUGUAAAAACAAAACUAGAUAAAUGAGCAUUCACGACAGAACUCGGCUUAUCGCUAUGCUUUUAAA
rnacentral:RNase_P_RNA from 5 species